rnacentral:lncRNA from 1 species
GCAUCAUUAUCCUGAUCAAAACCUCGACACUUUUGACCUGCACGUCCCGGUUGCCGAGAAUGUCUCGGUGCGAGACCUUCAAAUAGCAAGGGUAGUAGGAGCGCAGGAAGCUCAGGCAGAGGAAUUCUCUUUCAAGAAAUGUCUCCUGGCCGGGUGCAGUGGCUCACACCUGUAAUCCCAGCAAUUGGGAGGCCAAGGCAGGUAGAUCACCGGAGGUCAGGAGUUCGAGAUCAGCCUCGCCAAAAUGGUGAAACCCUGUCUCUACUAAAAAUACAAAAAGUUAGCUGGGCGUGGUGGCAGGUGCUUGUAAUUCCAGCUACUCGGGAGGCUGAGGCAGGAGAAUCAUUUGAACCCAGGAGGCAGAGGUUGCAGUGAGCUGAAAUUGUGCCACUGAACUCCAGCCUGGGCAACAAGAGCGAAACUCCGUCUUAAAAAACAAAAAAACAGAAAUGUAUCCUGCAGAAAUGUCAGCAGAAGACUUUCAAAGCCAUAAGGAUGUGGAUAUUCACCGAAAUGUCACAUGUGUAUAAAGACAAACUGGAGGCUGGGUGUGGUGGCAUGGUGGCUCAUGCCUGUAAUCCCAGCACUUUGGGAGGCCUAGGAGGACAGAUCACCUGAGGUCAGGAGUUUGAGACCAGCCUGGCCAACAUGGAGAAACUCCAUCUACUAAAAAUACAAAAAUUAGCUGGACGUGGUGGUGCGUGCCCAUAGUCCCAGCGUGGGAGACUGAGACAGGAGAAUCACUUGAACCUGAAAGAUGGAAGUUGCAGUGAGCUGAAAUCAUGCCACUACACUCCAGACUAGGCAACAGAGUGAGACUCUGUCUCAAAAAAAAAAAAAAAAAAAAAAAAAGGAAAGGAAAAAUCAGGCCAGGUACAGUGAAUUAUGCCUGUAAUCCCAAUACUGUGGGAGACCAAGGUAGGAGGAUUGUUUGGGAGGCCAAGGCCAAGGUAGGAGGAUUGCUUGAUCCCAAGAGUUCCAAACCAGCCUGGGCAACAUGGAAAAACUCCAUCUCUAGAAAAAAUUUAAAAGCUAUCUAGGUAUGGUGACACACACUUGUAGUCCUAGCUACUCGGGAGGCUGAGGCAGGAGGGUCUCUUGAGCCCAGGAGUUCGAGACUGCAGUGAGCUAUGAUGGUGUCACUGCACUCCAGCUUGGGCAACAGAGUGAGACCCCUGUCUCUAAAAAGAAAGGAAAAAAAAAAUCAAGCAGCAGAAGAGUAUUAUGUAGAAUGAGCCCAGUUAGGAGAGAGUAUGUAUAAUACACAGCCACUAGGAAAGUCUGGGAGACUACCUGCAAGCCAUUAACAAUCCCUAGUUCUAUCAACUAGCAUUACAAAGGACUUCCACUUAGGUUUUUAUGUCCUCAUUAUUUCCAUUUUAAAACUAACCAUGUUAGUACUUCUAUAAUCAGAAAACGUAUGACACUUUAAAAUAUUGAAGUCUUUUUUAGGAGAAGUCAAAUAGGCCACUGACCACUGCCUAUUUAAAAAAAAAAAAAAAAGAAGAAAAGGAAAAAAAAAUUAGUGAGUCAAAAGUCUUUGAUAUUGCCAAACAUUUUAAAUAAGCAGUGUUCAAUAAAUCUAUGCCAUGAGCCGGGCAUGGUAGCUCAUACCUGUAAUUCUAGCACUUUGGGAGGCUGAGGUGGGCGGAUCACUUGGGGCCAGGAGUUCAAGACCAGUCUGGCCAACAUGGCGAAACCCCAUCUCUACUAAAAAUACAAAAAUUAGCUGGGCGUGGCGGCGCGUGCCUGUAAUGCCAGCUACUCAGGAGUCUGAGGCAGGCGAAUGGCUUGAACCUGGAAGGCAGAGGUUGCAAUGAACCAAGAUUGCGCCACUGCACUCCAGCCUGGGCCACAGAGUGAGACUCCAUCUCAAAAAAAAAAAAAAAAGAAAAGAAGAAAUCUGUCAUUCUCAUAAGGUUUUUAGGAUGAUCAAACAAGAUAAAGGCACACAAAAGAGCUUUAAAAAAACUCUAUGCCAUGGACAUUAAGCAAGAUCAAGAAAUGAAGAAGAAUCAGACAUCAGAAAUUGAUGAGCUGCUUGAAGUGCAUAGCAGUAUUUUAAAAAUAGAUUUCUACAGGAUUACAGAAAUAGGGUGGGGUAAGCAGGACACUUAUCAUUUUUUUCAGAGAAAGAAAAUGGCAGAGCAAAGAUGUUCUCUCCUAUUCGGAGGUAGCAGACCAUUUCUGUGGUCAGCAGGAAACACAGAUUAGAGGAAGCAGCAAGGUAGUGCUGGGGAACUUUUAAAGCCCAAGGAAGGCCAGGCGUAGUAGCUCAUGCCUGUAAUCCCAGCAUUUUGGAAGGUUGAGGCGGGUGGAACACUUGAGCUCAGGAGUUCAAGACCAGUCUAGCCAACAUGGCGAAACACCCAUCUCUACUAAAAAUACCAAAACUAAGGCUGGGCAUGGUGGCUCACACCUGUAAUCCCAGCGCUUUGGGAGGUAGAGGCGCAUGGAUCACUUGAGGUCAGGAGUUAGAGACCUAACCUGGCUAACAUGGUGAAACCCCGUCUCCACUAAAAAUACAAAAAAUUAGUUGGCUGUGGUGGCCAGCGCCUGUAAUCCCAGCUACUUGGGAGGCUGAGGCAGGAGAAUUGCUUGAACCUGGGAGGCAAAGACUGCAGUGACUUGGGAUCACACCACUGUACUCCAGCCUGGGCAACAGAGUGAGACUCUUCUUCAAUAAUAAUAAUAAUAAUAAUAAUAAUAAUAAUAAUAAUGCCCAAGGAACUGUGGAGAUAGAGCUUUCCUCUUAAAACAGAAAGAAAAAGAAAUACUAAAAAAUGUAGCUGCCAUGAAUAGUAGCCAAACUUUUAAGAAGGUUCUUUGUUUACACUUCUUUCAGUUUUACUUUCUUACAAUGUGGAACAAUAAAAUGUUUCCUAUUUGAUAGGGCAGCCAGCUUUUCCCCUAAAGGAAAACCAGAGGUUAGAGGUUUAGGCCAGGAGCCUUAUAAAGACAGGAAACCAUUUCACACACCUCUGCUUACUUAGCUAAUGGGUUGCUUUUCUCUGUAAGAUAAGAUUGAGAUAGCCAGGCGUGGUGGCUCAUGCCUGUAAUCCCAGCAAUUUAGGAGGCUGAGGCGGGAGGAUCAUUUGGGGUCAGGAGUUCGAGACCAGCCUGACCAACAUGGUGAAACCCUGUCUCUACUAAAAAUACAAAAAAAAAAAAAAAAAAAGAAAGAAAGAAAAAAAAAUUAGCCAGGCAUGGUGGUGCAUGCCUGUAAUCCCAGCUACUCAGGAGGCUGAGGCAGGAGAAUCACUUGAACCCGGGAGGCGGAGGUUGCAGUGAGCCGAGAUUGCACCACUGCACUCCAGCUUGGGUGACAGAGCGAGACUCUGUCUCAAAAAAAAAAAAAAAAAAAAAAAGAUUAAGAUAAAUACAGGAUAAGAAAAAACAAGAACUGGCUAAAUACAGACAUUUGUCCUUUUUUUCCUUCACCCUUGAUCUGGAGAGGGGGGUGUCUGGAGCUUAUUCCUUUGGUUUCAACUUCUCGAACAGCGUUAGCUUAUAACUGUCUUUGAAGUGAGCUUGCUAGGCAGAGGAAAACUUGUUCUUCUUUUCUUUCUUUUUUUUUUGAGAUGGAGUCUCACUCUUUUGCCCAGGCUGGAGUGCAGUGGUGUGAUCUUGGCUCACUGCAACCUCUGCCUCCUGGGUUCAUGCCAUUCUCCUGCCUCAGCCUCCCGAGUAGCUGGGAUUACAGGCCCCUGCCACCAUGCCUGGCUUAUUUUUUGUAUUUUUAGUAGAGAUGGGGUUUCACCGUGUUAGCCAGGAUGGUCUCGAUCUCUUGACCUCACGAUCUGCCUGCCUCAGCCUCCCAAAGUGCUGGGAUUACAGGGGUGAGCCACCGUCCAGCCCUUCUUUACUUUUUAACCCUUGUCUUGCCACAUUCUGGGCCUUGGUUUUUACUUCUUAGACUAGGUCACUACAACCUUCUUAUAGCCUUGUCUGUUACUUUUCUUGGAAUGAAUGAAUGCAGUACUUCUUCUUAUUAUUAUUUUUAAAUUUCUGCCUCAAGCUAAACAAACUCACUCAAAGUUUGCAAACCAUCCCUUAGAAAAUUGUGAAGUCAUUAAAUACAGCUAUUGUAGGAAGUAAUGUUAGUUCAUAAAAUGCAUUAGAUAUUAAUCACUGAAGUUUAAUUGACUCAUCAGGCUUAUUUAGUUUUUCUUUUCUUUCCUAAUUUCUACCUAUAUUCUUUUAUGUUUGUGUUAAAGAUGCCUCUGGAAGUUCUCUGAACUGAAAGGUUUAUUUCUUCUUCAUUUCUGAUAAUCUGAUUAACAAGAUUUUAUAGUCUAAAAGAAUCUUAGAGCACAGAUAGAAAAUAAACCACUUACCUUGUAGUUGAAGGUUCACAAAUAAGUUAUUUUAUUUAUUUAUUUAUGUAUUUAUGAAUGACAGUCUCUCUCUGUCACCCAGGCUGGAGUGCAGUGGCACCAUCUCAGCUCACUGCAAUCUCUACCUCCCGGG